CCUACGGGAGGCAGCAGUGGGGAAUAUUGGGCAAUGGGCGCAAGCCUGACCCAGCAACGCCGCGUGAAGGAAGAAGGCUUUCGGGUUGUAAACUUCUUUUGUCAGGGACGAAGCAAGUGACGGUACCUGACGAAUAAGCCACGGCUAAUUGCGGCCCAGCACCCGGGAAAAUGCGUAGGGGGCAAGGGUUAUCCGGAUUUACUGGGUGAAAGGGGGGUGUAGGCGGGACCGCAAGUCAGAUGUGAAAACCACGGGCUCAACCUGUGGCCUGCAUUUGAAACUGUAGUUCUUGAGUACUGGAGAGGCAGACGGAAUUCCUAGUGUAGCGGUGAAAUGCGUAGAUAUUAGGAGGAACACCAGUGGCGAAGGCGGUCUGCUGGACAGCAACUGACGCUGAGGCGCGAAAGCGUGGGGAGCAAACAGGAUUAGAUACCCUUGUAGUC
rnacentral:rRNA from 1 species